GUGGGGAAUCUUGCGCAAUGGGCGAAAGCCUGACGCAGCCAUGCCGCGUGAAUGAUGAAGGUCUUAGGAUUGUAAAAUUCUUUCACCGGGGACGAUAAUGACGGUACCCGGAGAAGAAGCUCCGGCUAACUUCGUGCCAGCAGCCGCGGUAAUACGAAGGGGGCUAGCGUUGCUCGGAAUUACUGGGCGUAAAGGGCGCGUAGGCGGACAGCUUAGUCAGAGGUGAAAGCCCAGGGCUCAACCUUGGAAUUGGCUUUGAUACUGGCUGUCUUGAGUUUGGGAGAGGUGAGUGGAACUCCGAGUGUAGAGGUGAAAUUCGUAGAUAUUCGGAAGAACACCAGUGGCGAAGGCGACUCACUGGCCCAAUACUGACGCUGAGGCGCGAAAGCGUGGGGAGCAAACAGGAUUAGAUACCCCGGUAGUCC
rnacentral:rRNA from 1 species